rnacentral:rRNA from 1 species
AAUAGUUAAAACUUUCAACAACGGAUCUCUUGGUUCUGGCAUCGAUGAAGAACGCAGCGAAAUGCGAUAAGUAAUGUGAAUUGCAGAAUUCAGUGAAUCAUCGAAUCUUUGAACGCACAUUGCGCCUUCUGGUAUUCCGG